AAGACUUAGCAGGUUCAGUUCCUACUCUGCUCUCUCUACAGAGUAAAGGCAAAUUUGGCCAGGGGUCCAAGCAAUUGCAAGUCGAAAUGGCUGUCACUGUGCGUCCAGAUCUCCAUCCCUUUUAGGGAAUAACGUUAUGAUGGAGACAAGGUAACUUUGACGUGGAUUAUUUAGUGCUUGGCUUGUUUACUAGUUCAGAAAAAUAAUUCCAGUUGCUCUGUGUUCAGGGCUUUAUUCCAGUUGCCCUGUGUUCAGGGCUUUCUUCACUUGCAGAUAGAAAGAAAAUGUCUGAGCUUCCAAACAAAACUGGUCUCUAGUAAAGGCAUUGGUCCUCUGAAGCUGCAAGUAUGGAUAGAUUGUGAUUUAAUUCUUGUUUCCAAAUGAUAUGUCUGCUGCUUAUACUCCAGAGAGGAAAGAGCAUUUUUUUUUCCUAUGGGAUCAAAUACAAAGCUGCUCUGUUGCAUGGAC